rnacentral:lncRNA from 1 species
AUGUAGUUGAUUGUAUUAAAUAAAUGAUAGUGAUUGGUCAGUCAUAGUUGGUUCACAUGCAUCAUGGUUCAUACAAGAACUUUCAAGAGAAAGAAAACCAGAGCUCUAUUAAAGUAUGAGUAAAUUGGGUUUUCAUUCUCUUUGGAAAAUUGAUUAAAAACAGAGCUUAAACAAAAACUCAGGAUUAACGGAGAAUCUUUAAAUUUGGAUGGGAACAGUAAUAAAGAAAAUCAAAGAAUGAAAGAGAUGAACAAUGGAAUGAAUUGCAGUGAAAUGGAGAUGUCAAUUUACAGUUCACAUGUGAGAUUUAUGUGCAUGGGAGAUUAACCUAUGUAAAGAAUUGAAACUAAAUCAUAAAAAAUCAGCCUUGGUGUUAAGGAGUGAUAGAAUUGUGUCUUGGCUCUUGAUGAUCAUUCAAUCGAACAAAACGGGAACAAAAAGAAACUCAGGCAAACAUCAAGCAGGUUUAAGAGAGAUGUUGACAGACUGUUGCACACGCAAUUUACGUGUGCAUCUAUACUUAAUUACCUUGAAAUUAGCGAGUACUCAAACACUAUUUGUAGUAUUUACUUUGUUUUCUUCAUUUGUAGGAAAUUAUGGUCAAAAGAAGGAAAAGACAUUAGAAGUGGCUAAUUGAGAGAAAAAAGACAAUUUUCAACUUAAGGACAAAAGUCAACGGGUUGACCUUUGGGUCAACGGAGUCAACUCGGACCAAGACCAAAGAAGCCCACAAGUGAAGACCCAAGCCCAAUUGUGUUGCAUUUCAUUUUACCCUUUUUCUCCUUUUUUUGAGCCAUUGGAUCUAGGUUACAAGUUUAAUCUUGACCCUUGAAUCUAAGAGGCUAUUUAAGCACACUUUCACUCUCAUUUCAGGAGGCUAGACCGAGUUUUCCUCCUCUCUUUGUUUUUGGCCGAAUUUGGGAGUUCUCUCCCUCCUCUCCUCCUCUUCUCUUCUCCUUCCCCUAUUCUUCACAUGUAAGCUUGCACAAGGAGGAUGCAAACACAUCUCCGGUUUCUAGACCACCAUCUCUCCACCAUGGCUCCAUAAUAGGGUAGUAAGAGAAGCCAUGGAGUUUGGGCAUUUGCUAUUAACAAGCUUUGCCUUGACUUCCAUGGACUUCUCCUCUCUUUCCCUCUUUUUCUCCCCUUUCUUUCUCUCUAUUAUUAUCUCUUUCUUAUGGUGUUGUUGAUGUGUAUGGAUAUGUAUUUGUGUGUGACCUCUCAUGGUUUUUAGGGUUUUGAAACCCAAGUUUGGAUUUGUAUGGUGUUGAUGAGGAAUUAAUAAAAUUAAUGUUUAUUCAUAUGCUUUGUGUACUCUUGCUUUAAUUUCCUCACUCUAGAUGUAUGAUUUAGGUAUUCCCCUCCUUAAUCUAUGUUUGGUGUGUUGAAAUUGGAAUAUUGAAUUGGAGAAUUUGUAUUUCAAUUUAUGUUACGGCAUGAGUAUGGUGGAAUUUGCACAUUAUUGCAUAUCUAUUUCCAUUUGGAUUUCUCUAGAUUGUGGGUCUCUUAUCACCCAAUUUUGUGUAUUAUUUCCCUUGAUUGUUGGAAUAGUAUUUGGAAUUGUGGGUAGGGUAAUUGUUAUCGCAAGUACUCUUUUCGAUCUUAUUAUUUGUGGUAAUGGUUGCUAGACUAGGAUAGGCAAAACCAAAGUGUUCUUUCUCCCACUAACUUUCACUUAUGGUUUACCUCCUAUUGUGUGACAAUCGAUUUAGCUUUCUUUUCGGUCUCUUAAUGCUAAAAGGAAAUCCGGCAAAACAUUGAAGCAUCUUUUGAGUUAAUCGUCAUUAUUGCCAUAUGAUUCUUACUUAGGUAGAGAACCUUGAAUUCCAUUGUGACCCUUGGGUGAUGCAUCCCAUCCUUCUAUCUAUUUUACUUUUAUGGCUUAGUUAUUUAGUUUGUUUGUUAGUUGAAAACCCCAAAAACAUUAUGACACAUUCUUUACCAUUUUUUUGUAAAUCCAUUGUGUGAGCCUCUUUGUACAUAUAUGCAUAAGUGAUUGAUGACUUAGACCAUAGGAUUGCUAGCUAGCUCGUGAUCCCCGUGGUACGAUAACUUCGUGUCUAAAUAUUUCCCACUUCUUUGAUGACCGUGCUCUUAUUGCGCGCGUAAGUUGCAAUUAGCAUCAAAUCACAAACUCUAGGUAACAGAGGAUGAACAUAGAGGAUAGAGAGGGUAGAGAGAAAAGGUCAUGAGUUGCUUUGAGAAAUCCACGCACGUUUAUUGAGCCAAUGCGGUGUAAUUAAGCUGACCUUUUACCUUUACCAAACAAUUUACAAAUUAAACAUGUUGAAAAUAAGCUUAUUUUUCUUUAAAAGCGCAAUGCCAAACUCAGACAUAGUGUGAAAUUAUGUAUAGCUAGUUGGAGUAGAUGGUAGGAAAUUAUGUAUCUUAGUUUUUGGUGAUCAUGUGUAAAUGUUACUUUAUGCUAUACUAAUGUUUGUAACACUAUUCAGGUGAUGGAGGAGGCUUGGAAAGGAUUGAGAAUAGAUGAACCAAGUUUUUUGAUGAGCUGCAAUAAAAACUCCUAAAUUUAGAUCUGAACCGAUUUCAGAAGUUAUAGGAUCAAAUGUUAUAUUGGGCGGAUGCAUACAUCAGGAGGGUAUGUGCAAUGCAUGAAUGUGUUAUCUAGGAACUGAAUGGUCAUUACCAAUUUAUAUGAUUGUAUCCAUAUGUAACCAGUUGAGUUAAUAAGACAAUGAGGAAAUGUUGAUUUAUAUUUCUAGUUGCGUUAAUAAGACAAUGAGGAAGUGGUUUCAUAUACAUGAAUCAAAAUUUGAUAUAUGGUGAAAGUUUCAUAGAACACAAUUAAAACAUUGAUUUAGGGGGGUGUAUUGUAUAUGGAAUUAGUGGAAGUUUUAAAGAAGUCUAUGGAAUUUGAAAGUUUAGGUGUAUUCAAUACUGACUUUUAAAAAUCUAUCAAAGUCUGGGUGUAUUCAACUAGAUUUUAAAAAAUCAUUAUGAAUUCCACCAAAGUUCAGAGGUAUUCAAUUAAGACUUUUUAAAAUGAAUAGAAGUUCAGAUGUAUUCAAAAUAUCAUUCAUACUUAUGGAAUUAAUAACUCAUGGAUAAUUGUGGACUUUGUAGUGUAAAUUACACACAUCAAACUCC